CCACAUUAUCAACUUAUGACCCCAACUCAAUUAUUAAAAAACCUCACAUUUUACUCAAGACAAGAGAA
rnacentral:rRNA from 1 species